rnacentral:tRNA from 1 species
UCUAAUAUGGCAGAAUUAGUGCAAUGAAUUUAAGAUUCAUAUAUAAAGAAAAAUCUUUUAUUAGAA